AAAGAAUAUUAAUGUUAUGUAAAUCUUGUUUCAGAUAUCAACCUUUUUUCCAGCACACCCUCAGAUUUUACAUUGUAUUUGCCUGUUUAAAUGACUUCAGUUAAAGGGAUAGUUCAACCAGACAAUGCUAACAGUGUAUAAAUAAUAAUAAUAAUAAUAAUAAUAAAAUAUUACUGGUUAGCAUUGGAUCAGUCAAAUAUUAGACCUAUUGGAUUGAACUUGCUCUUUAAGUAAACAGUGAUAGCACUCAAAGUUAGCAAGCUAUCCUGUAUUAAUUGUGGUGUUGUGCAUGCUUUCCCCAUAUUGUUGUUUAUUUAAUUUAUUAAGUUCUUUAAACAUGGUAUAUGUAGCUAUGUUGACGCUACGAUGAUGUUGUUUUUUUUUAUUGUUUGUCUUUUUUUUUUCUCUCUCCAGAACAUGCAUUUAGAGGGCAAACCAACAACAAUGUCUGUUGUUUUCUUUAGGCGUCAUCUAGGCUGGUCCCGUUUUGUUUUAUUUUUCUUACCAGGUCUAUGUGAAUUACCCAAUGGUAAUGACCAUGGCUAGUAAAAGUGUUGCGUUGAUUUGUUUGCCACAUUUCAUUGUUGCACUUUAAAACGGAUCAACAGUAUCCCAGCGAUUAUGGUGCAGUUUACUGAGAGUGAUGUAGAUCAUGAUUUGUUUUUUGCCUCCUACUUAUAGCAAUGAAAUUAAGAGAUCAUUUUGGGAGGCAUACAUGUUCUGUAUUCAUAUAUAAAACUAUCUUUUGUUAUCCCUACGGACUUGUACUGUUUCAUGUUAAAUGGCAGCUGUUUCCAUAACUGUGUCCUACUGUAAACGCUCAAGAUCCAAUUAAUAAAUGCAAAACCUUGCUUUUAUGCAGAAGAUCCAAUUGCGGACUAGAGCACAGUUUUUAACACAGAUUAUGACCGGAGCAGAGUGACCUUGUUGUUUUUUGGUGUUUUUGAUUUAUUUAUUUUUUCUAAACUUUUUACAAUCAGUUAUGUGUGCCACUGGCACUGCUGAUAUCUCUGCUCCAUUUCAUUCAUGUUCUCCUUCAACCUGCAAUCGCAGCAGCUGUUGUCCUGCAGCAGGGAGCUGACUUAGCAGACUGCCUAUUUUAACAUUUGUGGCAUGGGGAGGCUAGCAUUCCUGUCCAAGAUUCAGCUGUGCCGUUAACACUUGAGUGUCGAAAGACACAAGGACUCGAUUGUCGAACCCACUGCGCUCAGACACCCUCCGAAAAUGUAAUUGCAUCAACAAGGCUGUAGCAAACCUGCUUUCUUAACUGUUCUGACUGUAUCAUCCUUAGCAAGGGAAGUAGAGCAACCCUCUAAGACUUUUCUAAAGUUUUUGUUGCUGACAUGUUCAGAGAUUUUUCAGACAGCAUUUGUUAUUAAAAUUAAUGCUGGUCAGCCGUUAAAGCACUCAAGUUCAAUUGGCUAGUAGAGAAAAAGCACUGUGUUUGGAAGAAGCAAGCCAAAUAAAAGUGUGACAAAGCACCAGCAGCUGUUGGCAAGAUAAUCCUUCAGCUGUGCUGUUUGUUUUUGUUUUUGUUUUUUUGCUCCCAACCCACCCUUACAGUUUAUUUCAAGUUCAAAAAAAGGAAAUCAUUCUGAUUAUUGUGAUCAUUCUGUGGACCUGUGACUUCUCUGUGGUCAUCAUACUGUAUGUAAACUGAACUAAUGAUAGUUUUCUUGGUCUGUGUGAAUGUUAUGUUGCUAGAAUAAUCCGACUAAUCAGUAUAGUUCAGAUGAGGGUCUUACUAUGGGUAUAAACAGGCAUUCCACUAAUUACACUUGUAUGCACUACAAAAAAAGCUAUGUAGUAGAUAGGAAGUGCUGCAAAAUCAUGAAAAAAAAAUUAUUUUUUACUAAUUUAUUGUCACAGAGAAAGUAAUGCCAGGAAGCAAUAUACGUACACAGGGACGGGUUUAUGGCUAUAUAUCCUGCUACAGCGGGUUGAUUUGUCUUCCUGGGUUUCAAAGUUGGGGAAUGUGCAAGUUCAAUAGGCUGGUUCCAUAUGUUUCAUAAAUCCUUUAAUUUUUCUUUAAAAAUUCUCUUUUUCUUUUUUAAAUUAAAAACACACCAGUGUCGUUUUGAUUGAUGUUAACUGUGUUGCUGUUCCAAGUAAUUCUCCAGAGUUCAGUGAUUACUUGAUGGACUGUUUUGGACAUGCAAGUGUGAACCAAGCUUGUAAUGGAACAUUUCUUCACAAGUCAAAGGAAUAGUUAUUUUUCAAUUAAUAUGUUUCUGGCAGAUAUGUUAAGGUCAACACCAAGCCCAUAUAUGGUUUCUACUCAGGUUUUAGGUAUCCUCAGUUUCUGUGUGCCCCCGUCACGUACAUACCUCCUGUUAAGAUUAAGUGGUUAGGAGGCAGGCUAGAUACAUUUUCCUAUAACAGGAACUCUAAUGAGGUGAACACUCCAGUCCUGCUGGUGCUUGACUAUCCUGUAACCUCGUAUUGCCUCCAACAGACCACAGACUGGGUGGCCAUCCAUUUCUCUAUGGGUGCUCACUUUUUCAAGUGGAGAUUUACAAGUCUAUAUUUAGAAAAUUCUAUGUAUGUUUGUACCGAAAUAAAGAAAAUUAUCAUUGAUGGUAAAUUAGUCGCUGUCUUGGUGCUGAUGUCUUUUUUCUUGCAAGUUAUGUUUUCAUUUUAACCCCAAGGUUUAAUGGGGGACUAUGGGCUUUCAGCCAUGUUCAGAAUCUACGAAA
ensembl:lncRNA